GGUCUAUGAUGAUAAAUCCAAAAGGCUUGUUUCUCAGAGACAUUCGCAGUGGCCGCCUGACAGCUUUCGCCUUUCGCCGGGCUUGAGAGCUUCUGCUGUUUUGCUCCUUCCUUGGAUGUCUGAGACU